UACAGAGGUCUCAAGCGUUGUUCGGAUUCAUUGGGCGUAAAGGGUGCGUAGGCGGCGCGGUAAGUCGGGUGUGAAAUCUCGGAGCUUAACUCCGAAACUGCAUUCGAUACUGCCGUGCUUGAGGACUGGAGAGGAGACUGGAAUUUACGGUGUAGCGGUGAAAUGCGUAGAUAUCUGGAGGAACACCGGUGGCGAAGGCGGCAUCCUGGACCGGCAUUGACGCUAAAGCGCGAAAGCCAGGGGAGCAAACGGG
rnacentral:rRNA from 1 species